rnacentral:lncRNA from 1 species
UCUACUUUAAAUUUAGCAACUAUGUGAAUUUGCAAUUUUUCAAAUUUUUUGAAACAUCAUUUUUUUUUUAAAAAUUUAAAUUCAUUCAGUUUGAGAUUGAAACGAACAUUUCACGAAAUUGACACUCAUAGGUAGGUUAAAUUCAGAAUACCAGUAAAGGUGGGUACUUAGCUUUUCAAAACAAUUUUAGAUUCAACACUUGUAUCGCUUUUAGGCAAGUUACAAAUCUUAAAAUACUAGUGCAGAUUCACCAGCGCUUAGUAGGAUUCUAUGAAAUAUGACAAGCUGUAAAGUAAUAUACUGUUAUUUGUAAUGCAUUGUAUUAAAAAUAUUAUUUUCUUCAUUAUCGGCAAAUAUUUAGUUUGUUUGUGUAAUUAAUAUAAACUGCUGUUAAAAAGUCUUAAACGUCAUUGUAUUUAGAUAUUUAUAACAAUAGUUUUCAUUUAAAGAUAUUCUCUCAUAAUUAAGUUAGUUUAUUGAAUCUAUAGCCUUUAUGUACUUUCUUUUUUAAAUUUGGUAGCUAACACAUCUCAUACUUUUGAUCUUAAUUUUUAUUGUUUUGGUUUUUGUUCAUAUAAUAAACAAACUACGUCAAAUUUAAAAAGAUUUUGUCUUCUAUUGAACUGCAAUGUUUGGUUUUAACUGAAAGUAUAUCUAGAAUCAUUAUAAAGUAAGUGCAUUAAUUUCGGUUUUUUAAAACAGUUUGUCAAAUUUGAAUCUAUACUAAAACAAACAAAAAACAAAUACUGAAAUAAAAAUAUUUUUACGUGACUUACUUUUUAUACCAAUGGAAGGUGAUUAUUAAUCCAAUCAUUUUUUUUGUUGUAUCAGUUUCAUUUAGCUUUCAGCGUAAUUUUAUGUUUAAAAAAAGCUUAAACUACUCAAGAAUUUGUAGAUGCAAAAAUGUCAUCGUAAAAUCUCUUAUUUAUGUAAAAGUUUAAAAUUUUAAUAGUUGGCUAAUUAUCAAGAAUCUUUCAUAUAUUAAUCUCAAAAUAUCUUUCAUACUUAAAUUUUUCAAAGGGAAUUUAUACAGAAUUUCGGUGAAUUUGGGACUCAGACCUUAGCUUGUUAAAAUUUUCGCAUUCAUUUUCUUCUAAUUCAACAUAAAUGGUUUUUAGUAACUCUUUCAUUAUCUGUCUGUUUCACACCCAAAAAUCAUAACAAAAUAGUAAUUACAAUACGGAAACUUGUCUUGUUUUAGCAGAGUCGUACUAUGUGUCUUGUUGUCUGCACUUUUAUUUUGAGCCCUCCAUUAUGGCUGAUGCCUACUACAGUACCGAUUUAGAGAACUUGUCCUAAAUUUCUAAGGAAUGAUUAGGUUUGUAUAUGUAUGGUAAGCUGGUUUGGUAAGAACAUUUCUAAUUUGUUUUUUACCAUACAAAAGAAAUUAAAAUUUGCCUGUAUUGGCUUUCUGAAUUUGGGAGAGGGAAAUUUUAGGCUAUUGCCUUUUUAUUGACCCUCUGAGCGUUGAGCAACUGGGCGAAUUUCUGUAGACUGUUUUCUUCAAUGCGGAUUUUCAAAUUCAAAAAAGGAAUACGGUUUGUAUUGCAAUGAUGCAACAAAAGUGGCAACAACAAAAAUUUGGGGUAACGCUCGGAGGGUUAAAUUGGAAUUGGUAUGUAAGUUUAAGCUGAGGUAAGCAGCAUUGUGAGAAAUGGAAUUUUUUUAUAUUAGUAUUUACGUUUCAAAAAGAAAUCAACUUUGUCUGAAUGAGUUAAGUUCUAAUUUGUUCUUGUAUUUGAAAGUAAUUUUUUUUUUUCAAUUCCUAUUUAUAUCAUAAAAAAUAUUGGCAACGUAAUCAAAUAAAAAAUCAUUUGACGUAUUUUUUAUUUGAACUAAGUUCUUAAUUGCAUAAUUCCAAAUUUCUUUUGAUUGAAAAAUUACUUUUCUUUAAAAAAAAAAAAGAUUUGGGGGUUUUAAAGUAAAAAAUUCUAAUGUGUUACUUUUGUUUAGUUCCUUUUAGUCUUUAAAUAUUAUUCUAUUAUAUAAUAUAAAUCACUGUUUUUUCAUUUAACCCUUUCCAGCGCUAAAAAUUUUUAUUUAAAAUUUUAAACAGGCGCACGUACUUGAGCUCCAUGCUGUUUCAAAAAUGGUGUUCAAAUAGUUUCAAAUUUUUGAUGGUUAAAUUUAUUUUAAUUUUUUAGCAAGUGUUACCAGGCUGGCAACACUGCGCUGGAAAGAGUUAAACAUGCUUUAGUCUAAAAUUGUAUUUUUUUUUAUGUAAUUUUGUCGUUUCUCUUGUCUAAUUUCUUAUUACAAAUGAAUGAAUAUUCAUAGGAAAAUUGUCUUCUGUUUGUUUAUAGUAAUUGUCUAUCCAUGUUAAUAGUUUAUUUAGAUACUAUAUUUAUGAUGCCUUUUUCACUGGCUGUAAACAGUCUAAAAAAAGUUUUUUUUAAAAUUUAUGGUAAAUUUUCAAACUUUUUGUACUCUUAUUUACAGUUGUAGUGAGCUAUUGUUAAAUUAGUAAUAGCUAGGAAGAUUUAUUUUUUGACAAUAACAAAGUUAAUUGAGUAUCUAUUGUUCAAGACUUUUAAAUAUUCUAUCAUAUGUUUUUAGUAGAAAUAUUUAUUUUUAUUAAAAAUCUUUGCAUAAUUGCUCUGAAAUUAUCUGAUUAUGAAUUAAUAUGUUGUAGUAUUUUAGGAAUUUCACAUUUUGUAACAAAAAAAAUUUUUAUGGUCUUAAAAGUCUUUUUUUUUUUUUUUAAUGAAAAUUCCAUCAUAAUUCUCAUUUAAAAACUUAGCCCUACUUUGAUCCAAGGAUUUAUAACUCCUAAAUUUUGAUGUUUUCUUAACUUUUUUUUAAUGAAAAGAAAAAUUGAUUCAAUAAGCUGCAAAUUUAGUUUACGCAAUCAGUUCUAGAAGGCAUAAAACUUGUUAUUAAUGUUUAUUUUUUGUAUUUUUUUUUCUUCCCUUACUGCAUUUUCUUUAUUAUAAAUUCCUUCAUACUUAUUUCUUUGAAAUUAUGCAUGAUAAUCAAAAGUAUUUAUUACAUCUUGAUAGUAGUGUUUUAGUAUGAUUUUGCAACUUCUGCAAAAUUUUCAUCAUUAAAUUAAUAUUUUAUUAUUUUUAACUUGUUAAGCACUGGAACACUUUUGCUAAAGAAUAACUAUAAUUCUUAACAUUCCUUUAAUUGAAAUCAACUAAUGUUCAUACUAGAAAUCAUAUGAUUAAUUUCAAUAUGAUUCUGCACAAAAGUAACUGUAUAAAGUAAGAGAAAAAUGUAUAAUUCUAAAUAAGCCUUUUAACUUAAUAAUCCUAUCAAGCAUUCCUGAAAUUUAAAAACAUAGCCGGGCAGAAUGUUAUCUUUUAGUUUGUGCUUAGCAUGUUAAAUAGCUAAA